rnacentral:rRNA from 1 species
UACGUAGGGUGCGAGCGUUAAUCGGAAUUACUGGGCGUAAAGCGUGCGCAGGCGGUUCGUUAAGACAGAUGUGAAAUCCCCGGGCUUAACCUGGGAACUGCAUUUGUGACUGGCAGGCUUUGAGUGUGGCAGAGGGAGGUAGAAUUCCACGUGUAGCAGUGAAAUGCGUAGAGAUGUGGAGGAAUACCGAUGGCGAAGGCAGCCUCCUGGGCCAACACUGACGCUCAUGCACGAAAGCGUGGGGAGCAAACAGG